rnacentral:rRNA from 1 species
UACGGGGGGGGCAAGCGUUGUUCGGAAUUACUGGGCGUAAAGGGCUCGUAGGCGGCCAACUAAGUCAGACGUGAAAUCCCUCGGCUUAACCGGGGAACUGCGUCUGAUACUGGAUGGCUUGAGUUCGGGAGAGGGAUGCGGAAUUCCAGGUGUAGCGGUGAAAUGCGUAGAUAUCUGGAGGAACACCGGUGGCGAAGGCGGCAUCCUGGACCGACACUGACGCUGAGGAGCGAAAGCAUGGGGAGCGAACAGG